rnacentral:rRNA from 1 species
GACGAACGCUGGCGGCGUGCUUAACACAUGCAAGUCGAACGGAAAGGCCCUGCUUUUGUGGGGUGCUCGAGUGGCGAACGGGUGAGUAACACGUGAGUAACCUGCCCUUGACUUUGGGAUAACUUCAGGAAACUGGGGCUAAUACCGGAUAGGAGCUCCUGCUGCAUGGUGGGGGUUGGAAAGUUUCGGCGGUUGGGGAUGGACUCGCGGCUUAUCAGCUUGUUGGUGGGGUAGUGGCUUACCAAGGCUUUGACGGGUAGCCGGCCUGAGAGGGUGACCGGAAGAGUGGGGGGUGAGGUAGGGCCAGGCGGAGUACGGGGGACGGCGGGCGGGAGUGGGACGAAAUGGGGGGAGGCGGAAUCCGGCAGUGCGGGGGGGGGAAGAAGGACUUAGGGUUGGAAAACGGGUUCCGCAGGGAACAAGGGGUGAGUGACGGUAAUGGGAAAAGAAGCACCGGCUAACUACGUG